UCCACACAAAGCUUCUUCCUUUGUAGCCAGUAGUUGGCUUCUGCUGCUGUGCGUAGGUAAGAAUUUGAGGCAGCCCUGUCCUAUAAGGAGACCAUCUAGAUCUCUGGUUCCUGCAUUUCCUGAAUGAGAAUAUCCUGGGACAUUUGCCUAUUUUAUUUACUUCCACCCACCCUGGGCACUGAGGACAAAUCAAGUGUUCUGUUAUCCUUGUUUUCUGGCUAGCUGGUGAAUAUGCUUUUGGGUAGGUUAUUGUGAUUCCCCUCCCUAUCCCAGCCUCUUGGCUUUGCAUGCCAUUCUGAUCAGCAAAAAGAUGUCUUCACUGAUUGAGUGCCUGCUUGCCUCACCAUUGAUGCCUCAGUCUAUCUCACCUCUGCCUGCAGAACCUUGGUCUUCACUGAGACUCUUUAGCUUGUAAAUGGUUUGUACUUUUCUGUUAAUGAUUUACUCUAUAUAAUUCUUUUGUUUUGUUUGGUUUGGUUUGGUUUGGUUUUUCGAGACAGGGUUUCUCUGUAUAGCCCUGGCUGUCUUGGAACUCACUUUGUAGACCCGGCUGGCCUUCGAACUCAGAAAUCCGCCUGCCUCUGCCUCCUGAGUGCUGGGAUUAAAGGUGUGUGCCACCACGCCUGGCACUCUAUAUAAUUCUUAAUGGCUAUCUUCAGAGCCUUUGAAAGACUAAAGUGACAUGUCUUCUUAAUGCAAGGCAUGACUGUUGUUUACUCUUGAGUCCAACAUGUUCAUGUGGUGACCACCACUGUCCUUUGGUGGCCGCAGAGUAUUGAUUCCUCAGUGGCCCCUCCUCCUCUACUGAAGUUCCAUUUCUCACAUGAAAUGGCACAGUAUUUGCUAUAACCUACGUUUGUCCCACCAUAGUCUUUAAGUCACCCCCCUAAAGACUUAUAAUAAAUAGUAUCUAAUAUAAGGUAAAUACUAAAAUUAGUGGUUGUUAGACUGCACUAUUUAGGGGGGAAUGAUGAGAAAAUAAAGUCUGUGCAUUUUCAUACGUAGCAAUUUUUUCAGUAUUUUUUUUAAGGCUUUGAUUAAAUUUGUUGACAAGGAAGCCAUAACUCUAUAAGACCAACUCUGCUUACUUUCCUCAGUCAUUUUAAGGUCCUUUAUCUGGCCCAAUGUCUGGAAUUGAAAUUGAAUAGAUGUCAGAGUACCAGAAAUAUAAAAAUGGUAUCAUCAGGGUUAGGGAUGUGGCUUAGUUGGUACAGCACUUGCCAUGGAAGCAUGAGGAACUACUUAUAAACCCCAGCACCUAACCCAUGUGAAAAUCCAGGUUUAGACAUGUGUAUCUGCUACUCUUGUGAUGAAGAUGGAGGUAGAAAUAGGUUAAUUCCUGCACCUUACUGGCCAAAUGGCCAGUCUAGCCAAAUUGAUAAGCUCUGGGUUCAAUGAAAGAUCCUUUCUC
rnacentral:lncRNA from 1 species